GAAGUAAAAGGCUUAUCAGCAUAAGGGCAUUGAUGCUGAAUCCAAAAUAAUUUAGCAAUACCAGACUCGACAUCAAUUCAGGACUUAUCUGCAGUUUGCAAACUCAAUAAUUACAUAAUAAAGUGGCCACAUGUUCAUAAUAAACACUUCAAUUCUUCCAAUUACAAAGAUAUCAAACAUUAAUCUAGUACUAGUGUACUCCUUGGAGAAUAGAAAAUACUGUCUGAAUAAGCAGAAAAAUUCCAGCAAUAGAAGCUACCGUCUUCCAUGGAGUGUUGCAAUAAUCACACCUAGUCUAUAAAUUUA